AUACGUAGGUGGCAAGCGUUAUCCGGAAUUAUUGGGCGUAAAGAGGGAGCAGGCGGCAGCAAGGGUCUGUGGUGAAAGCCUGAAGCUUAACUUCAGUAAGCCAUAGAAACCAGGCAGCUAGAGUGCAGGAGAGGAUCGUGGAAUUCCAUGUGUAGCGGUGAAAUGCGUAGAUAUAUGGAGGAACACUAGUGGCGAAGGCGUCGAUUUGGCCUGCAACGGACCCCCAGUCCCGAAAGCGUGGGGAGCAAAUAGGUUUAGAUACCCUAGUAGUCUACGCCGUAAACGAUGAGUACUAAGUGUUGGAUGUCAAAGUUCAGUGCUGCAGUUAACGCAAUAAGUACUCCGCCUGAGUAGUUCGUUCUCAAGAAUGAAACUCAAAGGAAUUGACGGGG
rnacentral:rRNA from 1 species